GCCCGCAUAGCUCAGUGGUAGAGCGCGUCACUAGUACCGUAUCCUGUCUGGUCCCCCAGACACGAUCUUACGCCAUGACGAGGUCUUCAGUUCAACUCUGGAUGUGGGCA